rnacentral:rRNA from 1 species
AACCAUGCAAGUCGAACGCUCACCUUCGGGUGGGAGUGGCAGACGGGUGAGUAACACGUGGGAACGUACCCUUUGGUUCGGGACAACUCUGGGAAACUGGAGCUAAUACCGGAUACGCCCUUUUGGGGAAAGGUUUACUGCCGAAGGAUCGGCCCGCGUCUGAUUAGCUAGUUGGUGGGGUAACGGCCUACCAAGGCGACGAUCAGUAGCUGGUCUGAGAGGAUGAUCAGCCACACUGGGACUGAGACACGGCCCAGACUCCUACGGGAGGCAGCAGUGGGGAAUAUUGGACAAUGGGCGCAAGCCUGAUCCAGCCAUGCCGCGUGAGUGAUGAAGGCCUUAGGGUUGUAAAGCUCUUUUAUCCGGGACGAUAAUGACGGUACCGGAGGAAUAAGCCCCGGCUAACUUCGUGCCAGCAGCCGCGGUAAUACGAAGGGGGCUAGCGUUGCUCGGAAUCACUGGGCGUAAAGGGCGCGUAGGCGGCGUUUUAAGUCGGGGGUGAAAGCCUGUGGCUCAACCACAGAAUGGCCUUCGAUACUGGGACGCUUGAGUCUGGUAGAGGUUGGUGGAACUGCGAGUGUAGAGGUGAAAUUCGUAGAUAUUCGCAAGAACACCGGUGGCGAAGGCGGCCAACUGGACCGGCACUGACGCUGA